AUAAAAUGAGAGAGAAAAGGCGUUUGAAAUUAGUUGAGUGAUUAUCUCCGACACGGCAACAACUGCUGUGCACUAUUUCUCACUAAAUCGCAAUCAUGAUAAAUUAUGGCGUUGUCCUGCUGUUGGGUGUUGAAUCGUUGAUGGUUGGGUCGACCACUGGUGUGCCGAUGUCUCCUGGGUAUGGCGGAUAUGAAAGCACAACACUACUUUCUUAUUACUCAACAUUAACCAACGCUGCUCCAGCUUACUACACCAAGGCUCCAAAGUACUACACCACCAAGGCUUCAGAGUAUUACAAGUUGUAUUAAAGGAGAGAAAAGGCGAAAUAAUCAAGCGAGUGAUUAUCUCCGACACGACAACAACUGCCGUGCACUAUUUGUCACCAACUGCAUUCUUCAUCGUACAUAGAGUAAACUGUGGCGUGUGCUGUGGUUGGUUGUCAAAUACCUCAAAUACUACACUUCAAUUUUUGCUGCCCGAGCUGCAUCACAAAGAGCCCUAACCCAUCCCCAGCAACGUCAACCUGCAGAAGGAAAGGCCAGUUUGUAUGUCCUUC